GAUUCAGUAGCUCAGUGGAUAGAGCAACUGUCUUCUAAACAGUCGGUCGUUGGUUCGAAUCCAACCUGAGUCG
rnacentral:tRNA from 1 species